rnacentral:rRNA from 1 species
UACGUAGGGUGCGAGCGUUGUCCGGAAUUAUUGGGCGUAAAGAGCUCGUAGGCGGCUUGUCACGUCGGUUGUGAAAGCCCGGGGCUUAACCCCGGGUCUGCAGUCGAUACGGGGCAGGCUAGAGUUCGGUAGGGGAGAUCGGAAUUCCUGGUGUAGCGGUGAAAUGCGUAGAUAUCGGGAGGAACAUCGAUGGCGAAGGCAAUCACCUGGGCCUGAACUGACACUGAGACACGAAAAGCGUGGGUAGCAAACAGG